rnacentral:lncRNA from 1 species
AUGGCCUGCGGCAGGAGGGGGGGAGUUAGCAGGCAGGCAGGCAAGCAGGAUGGAUGGAUGGACGGAUGGGGGCAUUCCUGGGGCAGGGGAGCGCUGCCCCAAGCGGCAUCUCCAAAAUGCCCAGCUGCACCUCUCACUUGCCCUUUCUGUGCACACAGGAGCACUGGAACCCCUGCGAGGCCCCAGUGCCUACCAUUAGGACAGUGGCGGGGAUGGGGCAUCCCUGGUGGGGAGGAGCAGCCGCGGAGGGUGCCUGGGUUUGUGGCAAACUGGGCUGGGCUGGGCUGGGCUGGGCAUCUAAUGUACAGGAAACCUGAAGAUGGCUGGACCGGCAGGGGAGGCAGCCGGAGCGAGCACAGCUCUUCCGUGGGGCAGAAAGGAAGCGCCACCGGACCGCGCGGUGAUGCGCAAGAUGACGGUGGUGCGCGCUCGGCAGAGGAGAUCGCUUCCCCCAGGGCGGAGGGGCUGCUGGCCAGCCGGCGACGCAGGCCCAGCUCGCCCGAGCAAAACUCCCUUCGGACGGAGCCCAAUUCCCCUCCGGGCAGACAGACCUGCUGGAAGCACGCCACGCUCCGCCCCGCCGCCUUCUCGCUUCGCAACGCUUGGAUGGCGGGAGGCCUUCCUCGGUGGCUCCGCUGCUUCAGCAGCGGCCCAUUCUUCUCCAAGGAGGAAGGCGGGGGAGGGGGCGCAACACAGCGCCCGCCCGGAGCGAAACAGGAAAAGCCCCUGCCCUGCGGCAUCCAUCAUCCCAAAUUACCUGGCUGCGCGGGCGGGAUCUACGAGGCGGCAGCGGCGGCUGGAUUCAGAGGGGCCGGGCAGCGCGCCCCACAGCUGCGCGCACGCACGCUCCCUGCGCCUGCCGUCCUGCGGAGCUCCGGCCCUGUUCGGAGUCGACGCUCGCGCUCCUCCGCAGCGCUUCCAAUCCGAGGAGCGGAGGCGCUAGCCGCCACGCCUCUCUGGAGCCCCGGCUGGGCCAAAGGCGGGUCUACUGGCCCGCAAGCCGCAGGGCCCCGCCCGAGUACCGGGGGUGGAGUCAGAGAGCCGGGGGAGAAUGGAGGGAGCUGGAAGGGCAGCUCCCAGCGCGCCUCUCCGGAGGCAGCGGCGCGGCAAAAUCCCGGCGCCUCGCUCCUGCCCUGCAGACGCUGCAGAAUCGCCAAGCGAAGCGACCUGCCGCCGCGGGCUGCGCGGCGGGAGGGAAAAGAAAGGGGGAAGACCCCUCGGUGA